rnacentral:rRNA from 1 species
AGAGUUUGAUCCUGGCUCAGAACGAACGCUGGCGGCAGGCUUAACACAUGCAAGUCGAGCGCACUCUUCGGAGUGAGCGGCGGACGGGUUAGUAACGCGUGGGAACGUGCCCUUCUCUAAGGAAUAGCCACUGGAAACGGUGAGUAAUACCUUAUACGCCCUUCGGGGGAAAGAUUUAUCGGAGAAGGAUCGGCCCGCGUUAGAUUAGAUAGUUGGUGGGGUAAUGGCCUACCAAGUCUACGAUCUAUAGCUGGUUUUAGAGGAUGAUCAGCAACACUGGGACUGAGACACGGCCCAGACUCCUACGGGAGGCAGCAGUGGGGAAUCUUAGACAAUGGGCGCAAGCCUGAUCUAGCCAUGCCGCGUGUGUGAUGAAGGCCCUAGGGUCGUAAAGCACUUUCGCCAGGGAUGAUAAUGACAGUACCUGGUAAAGAAACCCCGGCUAACUCCGUGCCAGCAGCCGCGGUAAUACGGAGGGGGUUAGCGUUGUUCGGAAUUACUGGGCGUAAAGCGUACGUAGGCGGAUCAGAAAGUAUAGGGUGAAAUCCCGAGGCUCAACCUCGGAACUGCCUUGUAAACUCCUGGUCUUGAGUUCGAGAGAGGUGAGUGGAAUUCCAAGUGUAGAGGUGAAAUUCGUAGAUAUUUGGAGGAACACCAGUGGCGAAGGCGGCUCACUGGCUCGAUACUGACGCUGAGGUACGAAAGUGUGGGGAGCAAACAGGAUUAGAUACCCUGGUAGUCCACACCGUAAACGAUGAAUGCCAGUCGUCGGGCAGUAUACUGUUCGGUGACACACCUAACGGAUUAAGCAUUCCGCCUGGGGAGUACGGUCGCAAGAUUAAAACUCAAGGAAUUGACGGG